rnacentral:rRNA from 1 species
UACGUAGGGUCCGAGCGUUGUCCGGAAUUAUUGGGCGUAAAGAGCUCGUAGGCGGUGUGUCGCGUCGGCCGUGAAAACCUGCAGCUUAACUGUGGGCUUGCGGUCGAUACGGGCAUCACUGGAGUUCGGCAGGGGGAGACUGGAAUUCCUGGUGUAGCGGUGAAAUGCGCAGAUAUCAGGAGGAACACCGGUGGCGAAGGCGGGUCUCUGGGCCGAUACUGACGCUGAGGAGCGAAAGCGUGGGGAGCGAACAGG